rnacentral:rRNA from 1 species
UACGGGGGGGGCAAGCGUUGUUCGGAAUUACUGGGCGUAAAGGGCUCGUAGGCGGCCAACUAAGUCAGACGUGAAAUCCCUCGGCUUAACCGGGGAACUGCGUCUGAUACUGGAUGGCUUGAGAUUGGGAGAGGGAUGCGGAAUUCCAGGUGUAGCGGUGAAAUGCGUAGAUAUCUGGAGGAACACCGGUGGCGAAGGCGGCAUCCUGGACCAACACUGACGCUGAGUGAGCGAAAGCGUGGGGAGCAAACAGG